UGGCGAACGGGUGAGUAACACGUGAGUAACCUGCCCUUAACUCUGGGAUAAGCCUGGGAAACUGGGUCUAAUACCGGAUAUGACUCCUCAUCGCAUGGUGGGGGGUGGAAAGCUUUAUUGUGGUUUUGGAUGGACUCGCGGCCUAUCAGCUUGUUGGUGAGGUAAUGGCUCACCAAGGCGACGACGGGUAGCCGGCCUGAGAGGGUGACCGGCCACACUGGGACUGAGACACGGCCCAGACUCCUACGGGAGGCAGCAGUGGGGAAUAUUGCACAAUGGGCGAAAGCCUGAUGCAGCGACGCCGCGUGAGGGAUGACGGCCUUCGGGUUGUAAACCUCUUUCAGUAGGGAAGAAGCGAAAGUGACGGUACCUGCAGAAGAAGCGCCGGCUAACUACGUGCCAGCAGCCGCGGUAAUACGUAGGGCGCAAGCGUUAUCCGGAAUUAUUGGGCGUAAAGAGCUCGUAGGCGGUUUGUCGCGUCUGCCGUGAAAGUCCGGGGCUCAACUCCGGAUCUGCGGUGGGUACGGGCAGACUAGAGUGAUGUAGGGGAGACUGGAAUUCCUGGUGUAGCGGUGAAAUGCGCAGAUAUCAGGAGGAACACCGAUGGCGAAGGCAGGUCUCUGGGCAUUAACUGACGCUGAGGAGCGAAAGCAUGGGGAGCGAACAGGAUUAGAUACCCUGGUAGUCCAUGCCGUAAACGUUGGGCACUAGGUGUGGGGGACAUUCCACGUUUUCCGCGCCGUAGCUAACGCAUUAAGUGCCCCGCCUGGGGAGUACGGCCGCAAGGCUAAAACUCAAAGGAAUUGACGGGGGCCCGCACAAGCGGCGGAGCAUGCGGAUUAAUUCGAUGCAACGCGAAGAACCUUACCAAGGCUUGACAUGAACCGGAAAUACCUGGAAACAGGUGCCCCGCUUGCGGUCGGUUUACAGGUGGUGCAUGGUUGUCGUCAGCUCGUGUCGUGAGAUGUUGGGUUAAGUCCCGCAACGAGCGCAACCCUCGUUCUAUGUUGCCAGCGCGUUAUGGCGGGGACUCAUAGGAGACUGCCGGGGUCAACUCGGAGGAAGGUGGGGACGACGUCAAAUCAUCAUGCCCCUUAUGUCUUGGGCUUCACGCAUGCUACAAUGGCCGGUACAAAGGGUUGCGAUACUGUGAGGUGGAGCUAAUCCCAAAAAGCCGGUCUCAGUUCGGAUUGGGGUCUGCAACUCGACCCCAUGAAGUCGGAGUCGCUAGUAAUCGCAGAUCAGCAACGCUGCGGUGAAUACGUUCCCGGGCCUUGUACACACCGCCCGUCAAGUCACGAAAGUUGGUAACACCCGAAGCCGG
rnacentral:rRNA from 1 species